rnacentral:tRNA from 1 species
GCUGGAAUAGCUCAGUUGGUAGAGCAGAGGACUGAAAAUCCUCGUGUCACC